CCUACGGGUGGCAGCAGUGAGGAAUAUUGGUCAAUGGACGAGAGUCUGAACCAGCCAAGUAGCGUGAAGGAUGACUGCCCUAUGGGUUGUAAACUUCUUUUAUAUGGGAAUAAAACGUUCCACGUGUGGGAUUUUGUAUGUACCAUAUGAAUAAGGAUCGGCUAACUCCGUUCCAGCAGCCGCGGUAAUACGGAGGAUCCGAGCGUUAUCCGGAUUUAUUGGGUGUAAAGGGAGCGUAGGUGGAUUGUUAAGUCAGUUGUGAAAGUUUGCGGCUCAACCGUAAAAUUGCAGUUGAAACUGGCAGUCUUGAGUACAGUAGAGGUGGGCGGAAUUCGUGGUGUAGCGGUGAAAUGCUUAGAUAUCACGAAGAACUCCGAUUGCGAAGGCAGUUCACUGGACUGCAACUGACACUGAGGCUCGAAAGUGUGGGUAUCAAACAGGAUUAGAUACCCCAGUAGUC
rnacentral:rRNA from 1 species